UCAUAUGUACAUAUCUACAAUGUUAAUUCACUAGAUUCCAUUAUAACUCUGUAGUUAAGUGCACUUGGGCUAGAGUAGUACUGGGAUGGUGACCUCUCAGGAAGUCCUAGUGUUUUACAUGAC
rfam:Picea glauca, whole genome shotgun sequence.